rnacentral:misc_RNA from 1 species
UUGGCGCGCGGGGCCCCGGUGACUGGGACGGCCAAGACAGGCGCUCCGUAUCAAAGAAGAGACAAGAGACAGGGCCAAACGAACAGGAUACGUUAUAAACGGAGCGACGACCACACAGUGACGACGACCACGACAAAGACGAUCGAAUAUCAAAGAAAUUUCUCUCUUUUUUUCCCCACUCGUUUCUUUUUUUUUCUCUCUCUCUCUCUCUCUUUUUUCUACGUUCGUACGCGUAAUUUCACUUCGACUUCCGAGAAUCAAAGUGCGCGAUCGACGAGCCGCGAGCUCGACCCACUCGAGCCACAGAUCCACGUUAAAUCCCGCCAAGGUGCCUGCAAUCGAGGAUUUCUAACGUCGGCACGGCCAUCCACGGACCGUAUUUACUCGUCUAACUAUUUGGAUAUUUCACCGCUCGCUUCAAAUUUGACGAGGAUCGUCAUCAGCGAGGGAAGGAGGCUAACGGUUGGAUGGUGCCGCGGGUCGGCGCCGUUUAAACCGACUGGAAGCGGAUAGACGAGAUUUAUCGGCAAGCAAAGAACCGAGCGAGUCCUCGAUUUCUAAGACGAGAGGGUGGCGCGCCACCCGAGAAAUUCGCGGUAAAGGGAGGAGGGGCGAAGGCGACCCAACACC